rnacentral:rRNA from 1 species
UACGGAGGAUGCGAGCGUUAUCCGGAUUUAUUGGGUUUAAAGGGUGCGUAGGUGGUGAUUUAAGUCAGCGGUGAAAGUUUGUGGCUCAACCAUAAAAUUGCCGUUGAAACUGGGUUGCUUGAGUGUGUUUGAGGUAGGCGGAAUGCGUGGUGUAGCGGUGAAAUGCAUAGAUAUCACGCAGAACUCCGAUUGCGAAGGCAGCUUACUAAACCAUAACUGACACUGAAGCACGAAAGCGUGGGGAUCAAACAGG